rnacentral:rRNA from 1 species
UGGGGAAUAUUGGACAAUGGGCGAAAGCCUGAUCCAGCCAUGCCGCGUGUGUGAAGAAGGUCUUCGGAUUGUAAAGCACUUUAAGUUGGGAGGAAGGGCAUUAACCUAAUACGUUAGUGUUUUGACGUUACCGACAGAAUAAGCACCGGCUAACUCUGUGCCAGCAGCCGCGGUAAUACAGAGGGUGCAAGCGUUAAUCGGAAUUACUGGGCGUAAAGCGCGCGUAGGUGGUUUGUUAAGUUGGAUGUGAAAUCCCCGGGCUCAACCUGGGAACUGCAUUCAAAACUGACUGACUAGAGUAUGGUAGAGGGUGGUGGAAUUUCCUGUGUAGCGGUGAAAUGCGUAGAUGUAGGAAGGAACACCAGUGGCGAAGGCGACCACCUGGACUAAUACUGACACUGAGGUGCGAAAGCGUGGGGAGCAAACA